rnacentral:rRNA from 1 species
AGUGAACGCUGGCGGUAGGCCUAACACAUGCAAGUCGAACGGCAGCACAGUAAGAGCUUGCUCUUACGGGUGGCGAGUGGCGGACGGGUGAGGAAUACAUCGGAAUCUACUUUUUCGUGGGGGAUAACGUAGGGAAACUUACGCUAAUACCGCAUACGACCUACGGGUGAAAGCAGGGGAUCUUCGGACCUUGCGCGAUUGAAUGAGCCGAUGUCGGAUUAGCUAGUUGGCGGGGUAAAGGCCCACCAAGGCGACGAUCCGUAGCUGGUCUGAGAGGAUGAUCAGCCACCUUGGAACGGAGACACGGUCAAGGCUCCUACGGGAGGCAGCAGUGGGGAAUAUUGGACAAUGGGCGCAAGCCUGAUCCAGCCAUACCGCGUGGGUGAAGAAGGCCUUCGGGUUGUAAAGCCCUUUUGUUGGGAAAGAAAAGCAGCAGGUUAAUACCCCGCUGUUCUGACGGUACCCAAAGAAUAAGCACCGGCUAACUUCGUG